ensembl:lncRNA
CUCACGCAAGGAAGACAGAGGUGACUAUCACUGCUGGAGAUCUAGGAACACGUAGUAGCACUUCUCAGGUUGACAGACGCACGACAGGCAUCUUUUUCUUGAGAGAGGGGGGAGAACUGUAUUGGCACAAGUACUGACUGAAUGGUGGGCAGGAGAAACAGGUGUGAAUGGUGUCCCUUCCGUCUCCGAAGAAUCGCCUCURCUGCCGUAGGCAGGAAGUAUGGCCCUAGCUUUCGUUGGCACUACUUAGUGAGCACAGGUGGGCACUGGCAGCCAGCACUGUUGRCUUGYCUCAAACUUAAUUUGCCAGACUGUGCUGGCGUGGCACCAAAACUCUUUGCUGACUCCGUGAAUCGUUACUUUGGGGGGAGAAMGGGAAAAAAAUAAAGCCUUYGUUUUCCMUARGGAAAUYRGGGGCUGAUUCCAGUCCCUGGAGAUCCCAUGAGGUAGCAAACAAAGCUAGAGUCAGAUAUGCUCCCUUCCCCUCCUCUAAGCRUGUCUCCUGUCCUCUGCAGUCRAGAGCCCGGUGCCCAGAGCAGCAAGCAGAGGCCAAGCUGCAGGSCCAGCCCUUCUCUUAUGGCACCGUGCCUUCCUCAGGCURCAAGAAAAGAGCCGCCACCGUGAAGCUGAGCCCCUGGCAGAGAACUGCUGAGUGUACGUGGYUGCUCACUUCAGUUAGCUCUGAAGGCCCCGGGGGUCAAAAAGUGUCAAAGCAGGCACUAGACAAGGCUGCUGGUGGCUCCCAAAUCGCUCCCUCCUGGCUGGGACUUCAAAGAGUUUAAUACUUGGUAGGAGACAUUGUGAUUUCCGAGGAUUGCCUCUCUGCUGAAGAGGAGAGCAACUCCUGUUUCCUGUCAGGUUGAGCUUGGCCUGGAAACRUGGCGCUGCCUUUUCUGCUGUGACGUCACCGACCGCCGUUGACGUCACAAGCCAUCACCGCUGUGUGAGGUAGCAAGAGCAGGGCGGCAGCUGCGGGCUGCCCCUGCCGCUUGCUCACUCUCUGUYGUGACGGCAAGGAGAUCAGAGCGCUUUUGGGCCACGCCUGAGCGAACAGGGUGUUUGGCAGCUGCRUCUCUGCACCUAUGUUCAGAAACCGAGGCCAAGACGUACGCUGGUACGGAUGUGCUGCUUUGGAGAGUUUUAGGAAGCCUCCUCUCUUUUCCUCAAGUGCCUUUUGCACCUAAUCAGCCUGGGGUGGGGGUGUGUGUGGGGGAUGGACGGGGGAAGAGCAGAAGGACAGCCUCCGAGCUCAGGGUAAAGCUGGCUGAAGGCAACAGCAGAUACCGCGUGCCCUGUGUGCCUCAGACCCUUUUCUUUCUCGUAGGCAACCUGCGAGCCAAGGGCCUGUUCUCCAGAGCCCUGGAGUCUACGGGCAGGACCAACGCCAGCUUCAGCGUCCAGACCCACACAYCGUACUGAAGGAUGAAGGCCUGCGGAGGAGAGUAAAGGUGGUCAGCGAAGCACAGACUGCCCUGGAAAUCGUUGGGACACACUAUGACCUCCUCUCCAGGAAAAAUCUGCCUGAGCUCUCUAUGCAGGGAAUCAUAUUUGAAGCACCUGAGGUUGUCUGAUGUAGUGACAGCUGAACUAUCCCCAAGAAGUCCAACCUACUAGCAGUGUUCCCUACGACUGCUCCCCUUUCCGUCUUAGGGCGCAGGCUAGAAAGCUGGAGGUUUUCAAACACAGGUGUAUAGGCGAUAUGAAGUUUGAGAAGACCAAUUUCUCUGUCAUCUGCCUACUUCUUCCAACAAGCAAGUCAGCUUGCAACUAAGACCUCAUCUAACUGGUUCCGUGGGAGGCACAUGCCCCUGUGCCUUCCGGGCUCUGGAGAGCUGGUCCUCCUUUGAACUGGCUCCAUAUCAGUUGGAGAGCUGGCUUUCAG